UAAUUAAUUUACCUUUGGCAUUUUCUACUGUAAAUGAAACACUAGUUCCUACUUCAGAUCUAUGUGCUGAGGCUGAGUGAGGUUAUUAGAUAAAUGCCUGUGGCCUGAGAAGCCUGAGGGGUGGCUGUAAUGAGAAGAUUUUUACCAGCUGGUCCAAAAUCUUCAAGUUGCCUACCUGACUGCUGAAAGAAAGCCAAGAUGGUAUCCUUUGAGGUCUGUUGGCUUUAUGGAAAACUGAGAAUAAGGAACAGUGCUAUCAAAUGUUGAGUUUCAGUUCUUUAAUGCUAACUCUGGAGGAGCUCCAAGGAAAUCUCUUUGAUUCCACCUGUCAUUUCUGUUGUGACUGCCAUAUUCAGAAGCGUUAUAUGAGAGUAGCUCCAACACACUUCUGGUGCUAAGAAUGGUAGUUGACUUAAUGGGAGCCCUUUUUUUUUUGCUUUAAGGAUUGUCUCCUUACUUCCUAUAAUGAAUGCUCCAGCAUGGGGUUUCUUCUAAAUUAGAAUGGUGGCUGCUGUGAGGCUUGCUUGGAGAGCAGAACAGCAGUGUCUCUGGAGUGUGCCUCUGUGGAAAGGACUGGGAAUUAUAGAGAGUCAGGAGUGAAGUGCUACAGCUGCAUAGACCUGUGCUUUCUUCCUUACUUGCAGAGCUCUCUUGAGAAGUAGAGCUCAUGGGAGAUUAGUAAGCUACUCUGUACCUGCACUGUAAAUAACCAGUUUCUUCUAUUGGAGGGACUGCACUAGUUUAUUUAAUUCAUAUAAAAAUGGGGAUUGUAUAGUUUAUUAAACAACAACGGUAUAAUAGUACAAUAAGUAAUAGUAGUUUUACCACAAAAUUAACCUUCUGUAAACGCUCUGAAUCAGUGUCAUUGAGGUAGCUAUGGGGAGUUCAUUGUUAACAUUAUCUAAUUACAAAGAAUGCAGAAGUACUCAUAUAGUAGAGACCAAAGUACUCUGCAGUUUCUUUAAUAAAAGAGAAGUAAUGGUCUGUUUACAGGAGAAACUCUUGGUGUUGUACCUAUCCCUGCAUAGAUUUACUGUGAUGUUUUCCAGUUGUUGAGUUGAAGAUUUUGGAACACGGAGAGAGUGUUUAUGUCCAUGUUUUGCUGUUGAAUAAAAGUGGCUUUUUUUUUUUUU
rnacentral:lncRNA from 7 species